UACGUAGGGGGCAAGCGUUGUCCGGAAUCAUUGGGCGUAAAGAGCGUGUAGGCGGCCAGGCAGGUCUGUUGUGAAAACUGGAGGCUUAACCUCCAGACGUCGACAGAAACCGUCUGGCUAGAGUCCGGAAGAGGAGAGUGGAAUUCCUGGUGUAGCGGUGAAAUGCGCAGAUAUCAGGAAGAACACCAAUGGCGAAGGCAGCUCUCUGGGACGGUACUGACGCUGAGACGCGAAAGCGUGGGGAGCGAACAGGA
rnacentral:rRNA from 1 species